GAUGAACGCUGGCGGCGUGCCUAAUACAUGCAAGUCGAGCGAAUGGAUUAAGAGCUUGCUCUUAUGAAGUUAGCGGCGGACGGGUGAGUAACACGUGGGUAACCUGCCCAUAAGACUGGGAUAACUCCGGGAAACCGGGGCUAAUACCGGAUAACAUUUUGAACCGCAUGGUUCGAAAUUGAAAGGCGGCUUCGGCUGUCACUUAUGGAUGGACCCGCGUCGCAUUAGCUAGUUGGUGAGGUAACGGCUCACCAAGGCAACGAUGCGUAGCCGACCUGAGCGGGUGAUCGGCCACACUGGGACUGAGACACGGCCCAGACUCCUACGGGAGGCAGCAGUAGGGAAUCUUCCGCAAUGGACGAAAGUCUGACGGAGCAACGCCGCGUGAGUGAUGAAGGCUUUCGGGUCGUAAAACUCUGUUGUUAGGGAAGAACAAGUGCUAGUUGAAUAAGCUGGCACCUUGACGGCACCUAACCAGAAAGCCACGGCUAACUGCGUGCCAGCCACCGCAGUAA
rnacentral:rRNA from 1 species